rnacentral:rRNA from 1 species
GAUGAACGCUGGCGGCGUGCUUAACACAUGCAAGUCGAACGAAGCACUUUAUUUGAUUUCCUUCGGGACUGAUUAUUUUGUGACUGAGUGGCGGACGGGUGAGUAACACGUGGGUAACCUGCCUUGUACAGGGGGAUAACAGUUGGAAACGGCUGCUAAUACCGCAUAAGCGCACAGCAUCGCAUGAUGCAGUGUGAAAAACUCCGGUGGUAUAAGAUGGACCCGCGUUGGAUUAGCUAGUUGGUGAGGUAACGGCCCACCAAGGCGACGAUCCAUAGCCGACCUGAGAGGGUGACCGGCCACAUUGGGACUGAGACACGGCCCAAACUCCUACGGGAGGCAGCAGUGGGGAAUAUUGCACAAUGGGCGAAAGCCUGAUGCAGCGACGCCGCGUGAGCGAAGAAGUAUUUCGGUAUGUAAAGCUCUAUCAGCAGGGAAGAUAAUGACGGUACCUGACGAAGAAGCACCGGCUAAAUACGUG